GAUUUCUGGUACUACGAGAUUGGCCCCCAGCUACGGCUGGCGCGUGUCGUUUCUCGUUUACCAUCCUUCUGGGGAGGGUCUCACAUCACUUUAAUGUGUUUGGGUCACGUAACCAGAUCUUUUACUUUGAAAAAAUUAGAGUGUUUCAAGCAGGCUUUAUGCUAUGAAUACAUUAGCAUGGAAUAAUAAUUUAGGACUUCGGUUCUAUUUUGUUGGUUUCUAGGACUGAAGUAAUGAUUGAUAGGGAUAGUUGGGGGUGCUAGUAUUCAGCGGCCAGAGGUGAAAUUCUCGGAUUCGCUGAAGACUAACUUAUGCGAAAGCAUU
rnacentral:rRNA from 1 species